CUUUGUUUGGUGUAGCCUACUUUUUCGCUGUUUUAUAGUUAUGGUUUAUACUAGAGCAAAAAUGAAAAGUAACUUGUUGUUUACACUUUCUUAAAAAUAAAACCAAAUUACAUUUCAUUGCACCGGUUAAAAAUUAUAGAAAUUAUUAUGACAGUAUAGCCAUGUUAUUCAUCAUUAUUUGUGUAGGCUACAAAUUUCGAAUAAAAUUUCCCAUUAAUCAUAAUGGAAUUAAACAAAAAUACUCUAAUGAUCAAAUAAGACCCUAUUGGAUAAAAUUCUAACAUUAUUUUUGAUUGUAUUGCUAGAUAUAGGAGUUUUAAUUAUAGCCUAGGCUAUAUUCUGAAAAUUCCUUGUGAUGUUCUUACAAAAAUAUUUGAUUCUGCUGGGAAAUAUGUGUUUUAAAUAUAGGCUACUUUUUUAGUUAUGUUUUUUCCAUGAGACAAUUAAUUUAACAGGAUUGGUUCUAAAUUUUUACAAACAUUCAAAUAAAAGAAAGUUUAUUAGAGAAUCCACUGUUUAUUGGUUAACUAUAUCGUUCGUUGUCUGUUUUAAUUCGUUUGUAACUUUAAAACAAAAUGCACUCGAGCAAAUAAUUUUCUGCAUCUGUCAUAGGUAAACAAAUGACAUAAUAUAGGCUGGUAUAGCCUACGCGAGUUAUUAAUUUGAUACUACUUUAAAGUACAUGUUUUAUGCCUUAAUGUGUGUAAAAUACACCUCUAUUGCGACACUGUGUUAUAUUCUGUUACUCCGUGGCUGGGAAAAACAAAAAAUGUGCGAAAUGCGUAGCCUGAUAUAAAGCACGAGAGCUGUUAUCUGAAUGUCAUCGUUACUUAAGCUUUUCUCACUGACGAAAGCAGUGCCACGCAUCACUUUUUCUAUUACAUUCACAGUUAAUACGAUUAAAUUAGAUGGUGAAUGUUUGCACAUGGCAUGGGGUUUUGAUCAGGAUUUGAUAGCAGCUCAACCUUUAGAGGGGAGAUUGUGUUGAUUGAUUUGCUACACUUGAUGUGCUAUCUUUUCUAUGUACAUUGGUCUUUGUUUUGGAGAACAUUAUGUUCUGUGGGAGUGUUGGAGUGAUGGAUGGAUGGAUGGAUGGAUGAUAGAUAGAUAGAUAGAUAGAUAGAUAGAUAGAUAGAUAGAUAGAUAGAUAGAUAGAUAGAUAGAUGAAACCUUUGAAAUGCACAUCAAUUGGGAUAAAUAAGGCAUUUUUACUGUUAACAAUGAGCUCUCUUCAUUAUGUCACAAGAAGAUGCCUAGAAAGAGCUAUUGUUUGAUUAAUUAUACAUUGAAUGUUGCCUUUAUGUGUGACCAUGAUGUAGCUGCACAUAACAACAGUGCACACACUGACCUAUAUGUUGUCAAAACAAAGCAAGAAUAAUGAACGCAAAAGUGAAAGGCUGAGGUCUGAGAGAGUAUAAUGCACAAUUGCCCUCUUUUUAUAAAGGCAAUGGCAUGAAAAGUUCAUAAAAAUGUGCUUUGUUUUCUCUUGAAUCAUGCAUGCAAUCAGUCAAAUUGUGCAGUCAGUCAGAUUGUGCAAUGAUUAAGUUUUUUGCAUCACAGGGUUAAUAACUAUACCUGAAUCCUGCAUAGAAAAAAAUAUGCUAGGGAUAUUCAUGAUACAGAGAUGAUUCAUUGUUUGCUCAAUCAAAGUCCACCUUUGGAAGACUGAAAGAAAGACAUUAAAUUAAGUGUUCUAGUCAUGCAACCAUUACCCAAGAAUAUGUCACAGAGGCCAGAAAGUGUGCUAGAAAAAAAAAAAAACAGUCUCCAAUUACAUUAAAGGAAUUUUGAUGUUGCUGACAGGAAUGAAAUGGGUACGUCUUAAGUAUCUAAACAAAUUAUGAUAUUGACUAUUAUUAGUAAUUUAUUGGAAUAAUUAAAAUAUAGGCUAGAUUGAAAAGAUUUUUAAAACAUGGCUGGCAUUGUACAUUCCCCACAAUGUAUUGGUUUCCCCCCAAACCCACCAUCCCAUCCAUCUCCAGGGUAUUCCAAAAGUGCGGUUUUUGACAGUCCCUGCUGGUAUUCCACUCACAGUCACUUUUGGGGAAAAUAGGGCAACAGUGGUUGAUAACAUCUCCUGGCAAGAUUUGCAUGUGGUACUGGUGAAAUUCUGGGAUCAACUUUUUUUUUCUUUUUUUUUUUUUUUUGCUCCCAGAGGUUAGAGUUUAUGGUUUGGGAAGGGGGGCCUGACUUUGUUCAGCCAGAGAAAAUGAAGGAGGCAGUUUCAGUCAGGUCCCUAACCUCCUUUUGCCCAACGCUCCACUGCCUUAAUCACGGCUAUUAACGAGUUGAGUUAAAGAGGGUGCUUUCGUUUUCCAAAGCCUCAGAAACAGCCAGCCACCAGGACAGAGGAGGGAUAUGACAUGGCUUAGAUCCACACGUACACUGGAGAGUCGCUAGAAAAGAAGGGUUGAAUGACGUUAGAGCUUGCUUCAGUGUGAAGGAAUUUCUGGGGGAAUAUUCUUAUAUUUUAUUUUAUAUUCUAUUUUAUAUUAUUCAAUAUUCUGGUAAUUCAAAAUUAUUUUUAAAAAGUGUUAUUUUGAUUUAUUUACAUAGCCUUUUUGAAAUGCUUGAUUCUGAUUGAUCCUGAUAUUUCCUAAUAUCCCACUGUAUAUCAGUCCACUCAUCCGGGUAACUGUAACCAGCGUUACUUUCAUGUCUCUCACUGCAGACUCAUUCUAUCUUGUUUCAUACAAAUGCAACUGAUGUCAUCUUGCAUCUCACUUGGUGAAAAUGACCUCAGAGCACUUCAGUAUUAAAGUGAUACGAUGUCCUACCUGCCUGUCAACAUAUGUAUUUCCAUACCUCCCUGCUCACGCAGACAUCACACGUCAUCAGCGCAUUUCAUGAGGCUAUGCAGAGUUGUAGACAAAGUCACCGGACGCCGUAAACAAACAGAAGCCACCUUUUACAGUUCCUCCUGAACCAAAACAUAGAGCUUAUGCUGCAUUCACGCCAUGUCGUAACCGUAAUUAUGAGAUGGCAUCCCGUGACAUUCUACCUGGAGCUGUUCACAUCCUCAGUUUCUAUGUCAACACUAUCAACGGCGAAAUGAAUCUGCAGCAGUCAGGUGGUACAAGCUCUUUCUUCCCAGCUCUGAAGCCUUCUGAGAUGGUGUUCAAAGUAAUCUUUUGGCUGGGCUACUUCAACAGUUGCAUUAACCCCGUAAUUUACCCCUGCUCAAGCAAGGAAUUCCAGCGCGCCUUCACCCGUCUGCUGCGCUGCCAGUGUCAGCGGCGGCGCCGCAUCCUACGCCGGUUCUACGAUCAACGCUGGAGAACGGCCAUGCGGGGACCCCGGAGGGACCCG